GUGUCAGCAGCCGCGGUAAUACAGAGGGAGCAAGCGUUGUUCGGAAUUACUGGGCGUAAAGGGCGCGUAGGCGGCUUAACAAGUCCCGUGUGAAAUCCCUCGGCUCAACUGAGGAACUGCACGGGAAACUGUUUGGCUUGAGUUCGGGAGAGGGAAGCGGAAUUCCGGGUGUAGCGGUGAAAUGCGUAGAUAUCCGGAGGAACACCGGUGGCGAAGGCGGCUUCCUGGACCGACACUGACGCUGAGGCGCGAAAGCUAGGGGAGCAAACGGGAUUAGAUACCCUAGUAGUCC
rnacentral:rRNA from 1 species